UGCCAGCAGCCGCGGUAAUACGAAGGGUGCUAGCGUUGUUCGGAAUCAUUGGGCGUAAAGGGUGUGCAGGCUGGAAAGUGUGUCUGAUGUGAAAGCCCGGGGCUUAACCCCGGAAGUGCAUUGGAAACUGCUUUUCUUGAAUCUCGGAGAGGGUAGUGGAGUUCCUGGUGUAGAGGUGAAAUUCGUAGAUAUCAGGAGGAACACCGGUGGCGAAGGCGACUGCCUGGACGAUGAUUGACGCUGAGACACGAAAGCGUGGGUAGCAAACAGGAUUAGAUA
rnacentral:rRNA from 1 species